GGACGGGUGAGUAAUGCAUAGGAAUCUGCCCGAUAGUGGGGGAUAACCUGGGGAAACGUAGGCUAAUACCGCAUACGUCCUACGGGAGAAAGGGGGCUUCGGCUCCCGCUAUCGGAUGAGCCUAUGUCGGAUUAGCUGGUUGGUGAGGUAAAGGCUCACCAAGGCGACGAUCCGUAGCUGGUCUGAGAGGAUGAUCAGCCACAUCGGGACUGAGACACGGCCCGAACUCCUACGGGAGGCAGCAGUGGGGAAUAUUGGACAAUGGGGGGAACCCUGAUCCAGCCAUGCCGCGUGUGUGAAGAAGGCCCUCGGGUUGUAAAGCACUUUCAGUGAGGAAGAACGCCUGGUGGUUAAUACCCAUCAGGAAAGACAUCACUCACAGAAGAAGCACCGGCUAACUCCGUGCCAGCAGCCGCGGUAAUACGAAGGGUGCAAGCGUUAAUCGGAAUUACUGGGCGUAAAGCGCGCGUAGGUGGCUUGAUAAGCCGGUUGUGAAAGCCCCGGGCUCAACCUGGGAACGGCAUCCGGAACUGUCAAGCUAGAGUGCAGGAGAGGAAGGUAGAAUUCCCGGUGUAGCGGUGAAAUGCGUAGAGAUCGGGAGGAAUACCAGUGGUGAAGGCGGCCUUCUGGACUGACACUGACACUGAGGUGCGAAAGCGUGGGUAGCAAACAGGAUUAGAUACCCUGGUAGUCCACGCCGUAAACGAUGUCGACCAGCCGUUGGGUGCCUAGCGCACUUUGUGGCGAAGUUAACGCGAUAAGUCGACCGC
rnacentral:rRNA from 1 species